rnacentral:rRNA from 1 species
UACGUAGGUGGCAAGCGUUGUCCGGAAUUAUUGGGCGUAAAGCGCGCGCAGGCGGUUUCUUAAGUCUGAUGUGAAAGCCCACGGCUCAACCGUGGAGGGUCAUUGGAAACUGGGAGACUUGAGUACAGAAGAGGAGAGCGGAAUUCCACGUGUAGCGGUGAAAUGCGUAGAGAUGUGGAGGAACACCAGUGGCGAAGGCGGCUCUCUGGUCUGUAACUGACGCUGAGGCGCGAAAGCGUGGGGAGCGAACAGG